CUUUCCUGUAGUGAGGUCAGAUUGGUUCAUGUUGUAGACUUUUGUUGUGGAGGUUCAUUCUGUACUUUAGUGAGGUCAGAUUCGUUGUGUUGUGGACUUUUAUUGUGGAGUUUCAUUUGUAACAUUAGUUACUUGUUGGUGGUUUUAUGGCUGUCUAUAAUGGUUUAGCACAUUGAUAUGUAGACCCUUGAUGCUUUAGUUACUAUGCUCUACUGGGAGAGUUCAGUGUUUCAGAAGUUCAGAAGGGAAAUAAGGAAUCAUCCUAAUAAUGAAGAUUGAGAUAUAAACAUAUAGCGAUGGAGUGUGUAGAUUUAGACAUAGAUAGUGAUAGAGUGUGUAGAUCUAGACAUAGAUUGUGAUAUUGUUUAGAUAUAGACAUAGAGUGACAGAGUGUGUGUGAGAUCUAGACAUAGUGAUAGAAUGUGUAGAUUUAGACAUAGAUAGUGAUAUAGUGUGUGAUCUAGACAUUGAUAGGGAUAGUGUGUAGAUCUAGACAUAGAGAGUAAUAGAGUGUGUAGAACUAGACAUAGAGAGUGAUAGUCAUCACUGCAGUAAUUUCAAGUUCGCGACUAAGAAUCCACAGAAUCAAUAUGUAGUUGUGUUUGUGUCCAGGUCUCCAGUCUACUAUGGAUGAGGAGAGAGAGGAGAGGGGUCCUACCUCUAAGACCACUCUGUCUGGGGAACAUGGCUGCCGGAGCAAAGCUAAGAGGCCAGAGCAGCAGCAGAGAGCAGACUCCCCUGGACCCAGCUGUGUCUCCAUGAAGAGUGACUGGUUUAUGGAAAGAAUGAACUGUUUUGAACCAAAAGUCCAGCAGCAGAGAGCAGACUCCCCUGGACACAGCUGUGUCUCCAUGAAGAGUGACCGCUCUAUGGGUCUACCUGUUGGGUUUCAGGAUGGAAAUCAAUCUAUUGA